rnacentral:rRNA from 1 species
UACGGAGGGUGCGAGCGUUGUCCGGAAUCACUGGGCGUAAAGGGCGCGUAGGCGGUCUGCUAAGCGUGUGGUGAAAGCUCGGGGCUCAACCCCGAGUCUGCCAUGCGAACUGGUGGACUUGAGCACUGGUAGAGGCAGGUGGAAUUCCGGGUGUAGCGGUGGAAUGCGUAGAGAUCCGGAAGAACACCAGUGGCGAAGGCGGCCUGCUGGGCAGUUGCUGACGCUGAGGCGCGACAGCGUGGGGAGCAAACAGG